CGUUGGUUAAAACACAUUAAGAUUUUAAAAGUAAAGUUGGUAAAAAAAAAAUAUGAAAUAACAUGAUUGCGUGGUCCUAGCUAGCUCUAAAAUCCUAAGACUAGCUAAGAUGUCAAUGCACAAAAACUGAGGGCAUCCAUGCCCUGGCCAUGAUUUUGCUAAAAUAAAACUGCCUCUUCAUCUAGAGGUGAUCAUCUAUUAAUUGUUGGAGGGAUUAGGCACUAAAAAGCUGGUAUUGAAAACAAAGGGCUUGCUAUAUUUGUGUUGCUGAAUAUACAUUUUUGCAAACCAUUUUCCAGUGGAUUAGCCUUCCCUAGGCUAGCAUUUACAAAAUGGUUAUUUUCUUGGUUAGCCAUUUCCAGGGCUAACAAUAGAAAAAAAAAAUGUUUCCACUCAAAGCUAAUCCGAU
rnacentral:misc_RNA from 1 species